UAAAAAUUGAUAUACAUUAACUUUGUUUUAUGCAAUCCAUACAGAAAAAGGCCAAAAAAGGAAAAUAGUUGACUGGCACCAUGCCUCUUCAUCCAAACAAAAGCAACAAACUGCUUCACCUAAUAUUAUUUACUUUUUUAACUUCUGCUUUGUUAAACUGCGCAAUAAAGCUCAAUGAUAUUCAUUUGAGUUUUUAAACAUACCACAUACACAAAGGGAAGACAGUAUCCAGAAUAUCAAAUAAUUUUUCAGUCUAGGUAUAUGUAAAAUCCACCAUUAGGCAAUUAAACACUGCCAGACGACUCUUCCAUGAUCAAGUUGAAGUAGAACUUGACAGGGGAACAAAAGAUAACUGUUCCCGUUGAAUUGCAAAACUACUUUGUGCAAACAAAUUGUAAUUAAGUGCAGUUGGGUACACCUUUCUUUUUCUUUUUGAAUUGAGGGUACACCAAUUUCAUGGAUUUGUAAAAACCUGUCAUUAAAUUACUGAAAUCAAUAGUAUUCCCACAAUGAAUGAGAAUUUAAAAAAUAUGAGUGAUCUUCAGCCACCAAAAAGGAAUCCAGCAGCUUGUUCUUCAUUCCCAUCAAAUAAUUUAAGAGCUUGUACCACAGAAUCCCUUCCAAAACCUAGCUCAACAAGCUUUGCAACUUUGGCCUCAAAAUCAGGUCUCAGUGUCACACUGCCUUGUGCAACUCCAGAAGAUUGACCUCCUGGUGCAUUAUUCUUCUUAUCUAUAGCUCCUGAUGUCACCUGAAGAAUCAAGGUGGAUCAAUUCCAAGACUGAAAAAGCCUUUGCUCAGCAGCAGAAGUCAACACCAAUUUGAAAUGCUUGUCUUUAUUAUGUUAAAGAAACUGAAUGGAGAACCACAGUUAUCUGCUCAUCUAGACAUGUCUAGAAAGAUAAGCACAAUUCUUUUCAAGUCUAACACUUUGAUUUCACUUGCAAGAAAAUUACAGCACUUCUAUUAUGACCUUGGUUAACAAUAAAACCAAGGAUAUCACAGUACAAAGUAUAGGAGUUAGCUCCACAAAUAUGACUUGUGACCAUAAAGUUUUUCACAAGCGCCAGUAACUAUGGUAGUAAACAUAGUAAAGCACAGAGAAGCAUAUAUACACAAGCCAAUUUUAUCCUUUGCUUUUAAAUGGGGAAAUACAUGUACUGUUGCAAAGAAAUUAUUAUCUUUCCAACUUCACGUACACUUGAAUGAUGAUAUAAACAUUAUUUGGCACUUACAUUUAGGACCAACUCACACUUACAGAAUAGAGUAUUCCUUCAGCAAUUGAAAACUAUUCACAAAAUAGUUUAGUUAAAAGCCAAACAUCACAAGGACUAGCCUUGUAAAUUCAUUAAAAGAAAAUAAGGAGCACGCUUACUGGAUUUCCUGAGCUGGACACUUCUUUGGCGAGGCUUUCUUCAUCCAGAAAAUGAGUUGGGAUGUCCUUUUCUGAAACAGCAAAGAAUUAUGAAUUAAAAAGAAGAAAAGAGGAACGAAAGACUGGAAAAGAAACACAUCAUCUAGAUUACAAAGCAUUUCAAGCAGAGGAAACAUGGUCAUUAUUGCAGAGCAGAGGAUGUAGCAAAUGCUGAAGCCAGAUGAUUAACCUUGCAAAAAUGGAACAGAAACUUCUCCACCCCCAACUCUCAAAACAUUCUCCUUCAAAUCAAUAAUGCACUGGUGCUUUCGAAGCAUAUCAAGCCCGAAAAGAAAUUCCAUGUUGGGAGAAUCCAGCACCAAGAAGGAGCAAGGGUAAAAUAUAUUCCCAAUCUUUAUUGGAGCUACAUGUAUCCGACCCAAUAUCUCAGACUGACCCACUCCACGAGCAAUGCCUUUAUAACGCUGAUCCAAAAGCCUCAGCAAUCCACAUCGCUCAGCACAACUUUUUGAUAUUAUUGUGGACUGAGCACCACUAUCAACAAAGGCCUUUAAAGGCACGCCAUUAACUUCCAUGUCAACGUACAACAUAACCACCCUAGCAAAAGCUUCAGGGUUGUAUUCCACUGCAGCUGCCCAGUUCUCAUCAAUUCCUUUCUGGCGAAUGGCAGCUUCAAUUUUCUUCUGCGCCUCAACAUCAAAAGGAUCUGCAUCAAGAAGGGCCUAUAAUGCAAAACAGAAGAACAUAGGUAAAUUUAAACAGCAUCUCUAUUUAAUACACUGAAAUUAUAUCCUUUUAUUUAACAAAUGGGUAUAAAAUAUAAAUCACAGCAGUAGACAAUAAGAAACUUCUUAAUUUGUCAAACAAUGAUGAUCCUCAAUAAAAUUCAUUAAUUUUACCAAGUAAUCAUAUCUAAAAUGAAAUCCAAAAAGAGUAAGAGGCAAAUCAGCUUCUCCACAAAAUUAUAAUCAAUUUGUAAAGAUGCAGGGAAAUUAUAUGCUAAAUUCUUCUUUUAAACAAACAGGUACAAAUCAAAACAACAAAUGACAAGAAACCAUUUCAUUGCAAAUGACGCUUCUCAAUAAGAUUUAUUGAAUUAUGAAGUAAUUAAACUUAAACAGUUUGUUAAAAAAGCAAUCUAGAAAGACUAAGGCGUAAAAUAACACUAGAUGCUAUAUGUUUUCAACCACCCUCAUUGUGACACAACAAAUCAUUAGAAAUAUAAUACUUAUUUUGGCCCCUCGUCUAUGGCUUGAACUUGCAAGUAGAUGCUUCUUUGAUAUUGUUAUGAUAUAUCAAAUAUGUGCCCCCUCAACCAAGAGGUCUAGAAUUCAAAUUCUAGGUGCCCCCAUUAUUACAAUAACAUUUUGACCACAAGGCCAUCACAGGCCUUACUUGUUAAUCCAUUCAAGCUUUACAUGCUUUUGUGUGAAGGUACUUGUUAGAGAUUAUUAAAUAAAAAAAUUAAUUAAAAAAAAUCAUCUAUAAACUUAAAAUUCUAAGUAGAGAAGUCCUUUAAGACAAAUAUGGCAAUGAAUCAGGAAAAGCUAGCCAAUCACUAGUUCCUCUUCUUGUUGACGCCGUAAUUCAGAUCUUUGGCGAUGACGUUGCCGGAAGAGGUCCUGCAGUUUGUUGAGAUCAUUUCCAAGAAGAACUUGUGCAAGUUCUGGAUCAGUCUGAAACAGUUGAGACAUCAAAUUAGAGUCACUCCGAAUAUGUUGUUGGAAAGCCUCAGGAUUCACAGCAGACCCAUCAGGAUUGAAGCUCAAAUCAUUUGCAGUUGCACUAUGUGUGGCACUGGAGACCAUCAUCAAUAAAUCGUCAUCCUUAACGCCCAGUGCACUCAAUUUCUCAUUAUUCCUUAUUUCCCUCCCAUUAUAAAGCAGCUGCUGCUGCUGCAGGGGCACCUGUGUCUCCACUUCAAGAAGAGCUUUCACGUUCUCAACAGAUUCAUGGGAAUCGACAUCUAGAGAUAUGAUGUGCUCAUCAGCUGUCAUUACAGUGAUUCUCAUCUUUUUCUGGGUCUUGUCUUGUGAUUGGAUCUCUUUUUCUCUCCUACUUGAGUUUGGCGGGUUUGCGCUUAUAUAAGGAACUUCGGUUUCUUAGCAGAGAAGAAGGUUUUUGUGGAGACUGCUGACGAAGGUUUCGAAACCGGUCCCGU
rnacentral:misc_RNA from 1 species